rnacentral:rRNA from 1 species
UACGUAGGGUGCGAGCGUUGUCCGGAAUUAUUGGGCGUAAAGGGCUCGUAGGCGGUUUGUCGCGUCGGGAGUGAAAACCCAGGGCUUAACUCUGGCUUGCUUUCGAUACGGGCAGACUAGAGGUAUGCAGGGGAGAACGGAAUUCCUGGUGUAGCGGUGAAAUGCGCAGAUAUCAGGAGGAACACCGGUGGCGAAGGCGGUUCUCUGGACGGUUUCUGACGCUAAGACGCGAAGCGUGGGAGCAACAGG